rnacentral:rRNA from 1 species
UACGUAGGGGGCAAGCGUUGUCCGGAUUUAUUGGGCGUAAAGAGCGUGUAGGCGGCCAUACAGGUCAGCUGUGAAAACUCGAGGCUCAACCUCGAGACGUCGGUUGAAACCGUAUGGCUAGAGUCCGGAAGAGGAGAGUGGAAUUCCCGGUGUAGCGGUGAAAUGCGCAGAUAUCGGGAAGAACACCCGUGGCGAAGGCGGCUCUCUGGGACGGUACUGACGCUGAGACGCGAAAGCGUGGGGAGCAAACAGG